GCGUGUUCUCUCUCAGAUUUCUCGAGCUCUCUCUCGAAGGUUUAGUAAACCUUUCCAUUUCCUUCCAGUGCUGAUCUCUCCAAUCAGAACCCACGAACUACAAACACAAAUCCACUAAAUGUCUUCCUUCUCUCUUCCUCUCACUCGCCUUUCUACUUUUUCUCUCUUUAAAAUUCCAUCUCUCUCCAAAAUUCCAUUUCUCUCUCCUCCUUCAAACCACUUUAUCUCUCCAGAAGUCCAUCGCCACUGCCUUUUCUCUAAUGGUUGAAUUUGGGUCUACAUAAACCCUUCGAUCUUUUAUUUGUAGGGUUUUGAAAAGGAGGAUGAGCAUGAUGUUGUUUGGUUUUGGCUGGAGAAAGAGAAGCCACAUGAAUGCCCAGUCUGCACACAUUAGGUUGUGUGUUUUGAAGGAACAAGAAGACACAUAAUAGAACCUGAAUGGGAAGAAGAAAGAAGAAAGCCAGCUUUUCAACCGAUAAGCUAUAAUCAAUCCCCUCGAUCUCCUCAUCGGCGGCGGCGGUGGUGACCACCAGGUUCACCUUUUUAAUUUCAUUUUAAUUUUUGCUCUUUUUAGUCAAUUUAACAAAUGAAGAAUCUGAAAACGUUAAGCACUCCAAACGGUUGACCAAAUUUAAACUGAAAAUUGAGCCUAUUUAAGAGAGUUGAUUAGUGAAGAAUGCUUACUUUUGUUACCUAGAGGUGUUUAUAAAGAAUCUGAUGUAACAUAUAGUAUUAACUAGAAGUCUAUCACAACAUCCCACAGUCUAUCAUAAUCUCUCCAGACCCUUUUUUCACUGAUAUUGUGUGUCCUGCAAAACUUAUUUUUUGUGCAGAUUAAUUCAAAAUCAUGCUAUGGAUAUACAUGGGAAAUUGCAAACAAGUUUCCAUCUAUCCCAGAUAUCUUUUUUUUUUCUCUCAGUUUUAUGUGUUAUUUUACAAUUAGUUUGUCUAUCUGCUCUAGCUUUAAAGAAAGGAUCCAAAAUUUACAUUGCUCGGUAAUCUAUAAACAUUGAAAACAAUAGAAGGUUAGUUGUUGUAUGCAAGUUUUUGAGAAAAUGGUGUUGAGAAUCUGAUAAUUUGGGAGAUGCAAGGUUUUGAAAAAAUGGUAUUGAGAAUAUGAUAAUUUGGGAGUGAGUGAUCAUAAGACCAAAACAAAUCGGAAUUGUUAUUUCUGACAAAGCUUCUUUAUUUCAACUUCAGGCAUUUCCUAGCUUAGAAUAUUUCUUGAGGACCAGAAUGUAGUUUUCGUUUUUAGAAUAUUGUCAUUUGACUUGCUGAAAUAUUCAGGAACCUAAGUUUAAAUGGUGCUCUCAUCUCUAUGAUCUAGAGCUGAUCAAAUUUUAUGACUAAUUAAACUAUUGUUUACUUGCAAAGAUGUCAUUAACUUUCAAUUGACUUUUGUAGUACGUUUGGAACCAAGCUGAAUUUGAUAUCAUUAAGCUAAAGACAAGAAUUAGUCCAUUUCCAUCUCAAAAAGCAGCAGAUGACAAUUAAACCACCAUGCAUCAGGUAACCUUCACGCUCAGAUUGCAUUCAAUGGCUAUCUAGACCAAAAGAACCUACAGUAGAUCAUUACUAACUCGGGGUAGAUUAAAAAGAGUUUAGGUCUGGCGGACUUUUACAGUUUAGGGAAGAAUACCAAGAUUUACAUUUUGUUUAACUCCCUAAAUAAACAUGUGCAUUUUGUUAAUAGUAUUGAAAACUAUUGUAUAAAACAUUUUCCAGGGGAUUUUGUUGAUUAUGUAACUGUGAAUUUUGGGCAUUUAGAGAGUUUUGGAGGUUCUACGAUUUAUGGUACCGUGCAUCGUAUAAGGCUUAAGAAGUCACCAUUACAUCUCUUAUCUAAGAGCCAAUAUUUAAGUUGGUGAGUAAACAAUAAAAUGAGUGUUAUGCAAGUUAAUUAAGUUCUGCAUAUUGAUUUUAAGGCUAAUUAUGUUGUGUUACGUAUAAGUACACACCAAUUAUAUUCUUUCGAAGAAUACAUUAGUUUAUAUAGUAGCACAAUGAUUGCGAACAUUGAAAAAUCUCAAGUAACUUAAAUUAUCAUGCUAGAUCCUAAACUUUUCUAAUCUUUGCUUACAAAGAGUUGAUGACUAGGUAGUGAUUUCUAUUGAGCACCAGUUAUUUGCACCUCUUUUCCCUCCUUCCAUAAUUGAAGUGCUUUUGACUCUAUGUAGUAAUGAUUUACAAGAUAAAAUUGUAGAAUUUUUUUUCUUCCAUUGUGUUUCCUUUUUCAAAAAUUAAGAUAGAAAGGGAAUGCUAUGAUAAUUUGAGGUUUUUGUUUUGAUAUUCAUAUGUGUACUUUAGCUGGUACAUAAAAAAGAGAUUUGGUUUGUAGAUAUAGUCAUUAGUAAUGCUUUUAUGGUUUUCUUUAAUGUGGAGAAAAUUGGGAUUCCUUUUAAAAGAUUUUAUUGCUCAUAUGGUUAGGGAGUACUUACAAGAACUUCGUUUUCU